GUGCUCGCUUUGGGCAGCACCAUAUACUAAAAUUAGAAUGCUACAGAGAGAUUAGCUGGUGGCCCCUGCACAAGCGUGACACACAAAUUUAUUAAAGUGUUCCAUAUUAAA
rnacentral:snRNA from 1 species